CGAUCACGGCCUAUCAUCUUGUUGGUGAGGUAAUGGCUCACCAAGGCGUCGACGGGUAGCCGGCCUGAGAGGGUGACCGGCCACACUGGGACUGAGACACGGCCCAGACUCCUACGGGAGGCAGCAGUGGGGAAUAUUGCACAAUGGGCGGAAGCCUGAUGCAGCAACGCCGCGUGAGGGAUGACGGCCUUCGGGUUGUAAACCUCUUUUAGCAGGGAAGAAGCGAGAGUGACGGUACCUGCAGAAAAAGCACCGGCUAACUACGAGCAAGCAGCCGCGGUAAUACGUAGGGUGCAAGCGUUAUCCGGAAUUAUUGGGCGUAAAGAGCUCGUAGGCGGUUUGUCGCGUCUGCUGUGAAAUCCCGAGGCUCAACCUCGGGCCUGCAGUGGGUACGGGCAGACUAGAGUGCGGUAGGGGAGAUUGGAAUUCCUGGUGUAGCGGUGGAAUGCGCAGAUAUCAGGAGGAACACCGAUGGCGAAGGCAGAUCUCUGGGCCGUAACUGACGCUGAGGAGCGAAAGGGUGGGGAGCAAACAGGCUUAGAUACCCUGGUAGUCCACCCCGUAAACGUUGGGAACUAGUUGUGGGGUCCUUUCCACGGAUUCCGUGACGCAGCUAACGCAUUAAGUUCCCCGCCUGGGGAGUACGGCCGCAAGGCUAAAACUCAAAGGAAUUGACGGGGACCCGCACAAGCGGCGGAGCAUGCGGAUUAAUUCGAUGCAACGCGAAGAACCUUACCAAGGCUUGACAUACACCAGAACACCGUAGAAAUACGGGACUCUUUGGACACUGGUGAACAGGUGGUGCAUGGUUGUCGUCAGCUCGUGUCGUGAGAUGUUGGGUUAAGUCCCGCAACGAGCGCAACCCUCGUUCUAUGUUGCCAGCACGUAAUGGUGGGAACUCAUGGGAUACUGCCGGGGUCAACUCGGAGGAAAGGUGGGGAUGACGUCAAAUCAUCAUGCCCCUUAUGUCUUGGGCUUCACGCAUGCUACAAUGGCCGGUACAAAGGGCUGCAAUACCGUGAGGUGGA
rnacentral:rRNA from 1 species